AACGCGAAGAACCUUACCUGGGCUUGAACUACUGGUAGUAAGUCUCUGGAAACAGAGGCUGAUCCGCAAGGAAGCCAGCAGAGGUGCUGCAUGGUUGUCGUCAGCUCGUGUCGUGAGAUGUUGGGUUAAGUCCCGCAACGAGCGCAACCCCUAUUCGAUGUUGCCACCCCCGCAAGGGGAGCACUCUUCGAAAACUGCCUUCGAUAAGAAGGAGGAAGGUGGGGACGACGUCAAAUCCUCAUGGCCCUUAUGUCCAGGGCUACACACGUGCUACAAUGGCCGGUACAACGGGAAGCAAUACCGCAAGGUGGAGCCAAACCCUGAAAGCCGGCCCCAGUUCAGAUCGUGGGCUGCAACUCGCCCACGUGAAGGCGGAAUCGCUAGUAAUCGCAGAUCAGCAGGCUGCGGUGAAUACGUUCCCGGGCCUUGUACACACCGCACGA
rnacentral:rRNA from 1 species